GUGCUCACUUCGGCAGCGCAUAUGGUAACACUGGAACAAUAUGGAGAAGAUAGAUCAACGUGGCCCCUGUGCAAGGAUGACAUGCAAAUUCAUGAAGCGGUCCAUAUUUUU
rnacentral:snRNA from 1 species